GACGAACGCUGGCGGCGUGCUUAACACAUGCAAGUCGAACGGAAAGGCCCUGCUUUUGUGGGGUGCUCGAGUGGCGAACGGGUGAGUAACACGUGAGUAACCUGCCCUUGACUUUGGGAUAACUUCAGGAAACUGGGGCUAAUACCGGAUAGGAGCUCCUGAUGCAUGGGGGGGGUUGGAAAGUUUCGGCGGUUGGGGAUGGACUCGCGGCUUAUCAGCUUGUUGGUGGGGUAGUGGCUUACCAAGGCGUUGACGGGUAGCCGGCCUGAGAGGGUGACCGGCCACAUUGGGACUGAGAUACGGCCCAGACUCCUACGGGAGGCAGCAGUGGGGAAUAUUGCACAGUGGGCGGAAGCCUGAUGCAGCAACGCCGCGUGCGGGAUGACGGCCUUCGGGUUGUAAACCGCUUUCGCCUGUGACGAAGCGUGAGUGACGGUAAUGGGUAGAGAAGCACCGGCUAACUACGUG
rnacentral:rRNA from 1 species